CCCCUAACUGAUCAAACUGGAAGGCAGUGCUCGUAAACAAUGGGAGCUCGGGAGUCCAAAGAGCCACAGAAGGAAUGGAAUGCCCAUGGUUUGCUAGGUUAUCAGCAAGGAAAUUAGCUUCUCUCCACACGUACAUGAGCAAAAGAAACCGAAUCAAAAUGGGAAGACAGCCUCUUAAUAUAUUGGAUGAGGAAUUUAAUUCACCAUGGUUCAAGGCAGCCUUCUAUAAGCAAGCAGAGCUUGAGAAGUAAUGUUGGAGAGAUGAGAGAGACUUUCACGAAGGGCCAUCGCUUCAGCAAAAAGAACAUCGAUUCAUGAUUAAACCCAAGUUCUUGGACAUAGCUAAGAGACGGCGCUGGCUAAACGAGUUGGCACUGUACACUGUUCAUCUUGGCCUGAAAUGAAGUGUCGGUUUUGCCCUUCCGUUUUCUUUUAAUUACAAUCUGCCGCCACCCUUCUAUAAUCUUCUACAUCCGUCUUAACGCAGCAGAAGACACCGCAGUCUGAAUAUUUUGGGAAACUUUCGAUUUUGUGAAGUUGAGCUCAUUUGAUCAAAUCGGAGGAUCCGAUUGAGCAAUCAGAGAUAUAUGAGAGAUUAAGCUCCAGAACACUGGCUUCCAAGGAUUCACACUUGAAAAAACCAACAGAGAUAAUGCUACUGUAAGAAGAACUGAACUACUUAAUUGGAAGAACAACUAGAGCUGCAAAGACAAUCCAGACUGAACUUGACAGACUAUUAGGCCCGACCUAACAUCAAGAGCCUGAUAUCACUAAGACACAAGCACAAUGGGAGUACCUGUAGAAGCAUAGCUUGCACUCCUACUAUAACAGUUCCCUUCUACCUAAGGCAUUGCACUUCUUAAAUUUCGCGUACAUUUGGUUUUGCCUGAGUCAGUUGUUCUGUCAAGUAUAUUGAAAAAAGUUUAUCAUAUUUUUUAUCUAAUUCAAAGUUGGAUAGUGGUAAUAAUUCUCAUUUCAUGUUUAUAUUUUUCAUAUUCUUCUUCAACGUCAUCCAAACAUUGAUCCUGAUGCUUAAUCUUUUGUUUGAAGCAUGUUAUGUCAAAGAUCAUUUUUCGAAACAUUAAUUUACAUCAUGUAUACA